GAGUUUGAUCUUGGCUCAGAUUGAACGCUGGCGGCAUGCCUUACACAUGCAAGUCGAACGGCAGCACGGGAGCUUGCCCCUGGUGGCGAGUGGCGAACGGGUGAGUAAUGCAUCGGAACGUAUCCUGGAGUGGGGGAUAACGUAGCGAAAGUUACGCUAAUACCGCAUAUUCUGUGAGCAGGAAAGCGGGGGACCUUCGGGCCUCGCGCUCUUGGAGCGGCCGAUGUCGGAUUAGCUAGUUGGUGAGGUAAAGGCUCACCAAGGCGACGAUCCGUAGCAGGUCUGAGAGGAUGAUCUGCCACACUGGAACUGAGACACGGUCCAGACUCCUACGGGAGGCAGCAGUGGGGAAUUUUGGACAAUGGGGGCAACCCUGAUCCAGCCAUGCCGCGUGAGUGAAGAAGGCC
rnacentral:rRNA from 3 species